rnacentral:lncRNA from 1 species
GUUGAGAGUGUGCAAACCUGAAUAGAAUACCAAUCCUCCUCCCUUCUUCACCCAACCUCUCUCCCAUGGCAAUGGCCAUCAUCGAAGCGGGGCGGCGGCCCUGGUGAGGUCUGCGGAGGCCGCGGCCGGCGGAGGCCAUGGGGAUGGGUCGGCGGUUUGGUGUGGUGACGAGCAUCUCGGCGUCUCCAUCCGCGUGGGGGAGACCGAGUCGUUGUGGAGGUAGGUGAGGAAGCGGUGGCCAGCGAGCUGCAACCCGGUGUGGUUGUGGGUCUUGUGGCAUGCCUGGCGCCGGCGUGGGUGGGCGCGGUCCGUGUUGGAAUAAGCCACGACGUGUAUGGUCGGGCUCGUCGGGGCGCGUCGGGUGCGCGUGGUCCGUGUUGGAAUAAGCCACGACGUGUAUGGUCGGGCUCGUCGGGGCGCGUCGGGUGCGCGUGGUCCGUGUUGGAAUAAGCUACGACGUGUGUGGUCGGGUGCGCGCGGGACGUGCGGGAUACACUGGUGCGCUUGGACUCGUCGGGCGCAUCGGAUGCGCGCGGGACGUGCGGGGACAUAGCAGAAGCCGUGGCAAAGUGUGCGUGUGUGCGUAUGCUCGUGGUGUGCGUGUGUGUGGUCUGCUGGUGCGUGAGCUAGGCUCAUGUUGGGUUCCACUGCAUAGGCCUGUGUUGUUAGCGACAUUAGCGGCAGCGCGUAGCGGACAGUUUAAUGGCAGGCCGCGUCGUACUCGUUAGUGCGCGGCAAGAGCGCUGCCGAAGCCCAUGAAUCGAACGCUCUGGUGAGUGGAGGAGGUGGGCAACGGAAACUUGGGUGCUGUGAGACUACAAAUUCACGGCCACAAGUGUGUGUUUAUACGUGAGUUGGUGCUCUGAGAAUAGUAACGGGGCUGUGUGUGCAGCCGGGUGAAACUCCUGUGUAUUGUGCUCCUCCUUCUUCUACCUCUAGUCCUGAGUGAGAGAGAGAGCUGCAACAACAGUCCGAUGUGUCCCGCAGUUGGGCGAAGUGUGCUGCUGCUGCCGGCGGGCUCACCUUCUUCAUCAUCACAUUCACACCGGUACCGUGUAGGCCUGGAAGCUCUUCUGGCUUGGCCAGGAGCUCUCUCCCAAGGCCAAGCCAAUCAUCAAUCGAUUGAGUCAGUUAGUUAGCUCUUAGCUGGUUUCGAUUCCGCCACCGUCGGUGACGACGGCUGCCUUCACCGGCGAAUCGAGCUGGAUUCAUGCAUCGCCUCGCUAGAUCGCACCUCGUGUCGUAGAGGUGUCCGCUACCUUCACCUAUCAUCUCCUUUCUACAAGCCAUUCUUUAACUGAAUCAGAAUUCUACAGUACUACUAUUUAUCACCAUUAUAUUCCUCCUUGUUGUUCUUCAUCCUGUUGCAAAUUUCUGCAAGGCAUCGGGAAGUAUCACCCAUUCGCAUUACAAUUAUUUUUCCUGAGAUAUGUCGGUUGUUAUAAGUUUGUUUAUUCUGCCGAUCCAGGUUUGAGUCUGCCAAAGUACGCAAUAUAUAUAGCUGCUGGAGAGUGGCUCAAGGUGAAGGAGUAGCAGCUGCUCAGGAGGAACGCGGUUGAGAUGCUUUGGGGGUUCGGUACGCAGGAGCACAUUGAUUUUGGUACAAAGUGAGUUGAUAUGGAGCCAGUACUUUUUUUUUUUGCACAUUGAUUUGGCGCAUCCACACAAAUAGCAGCGAAAAUGAAUGCAAGCCUUCGGUUCCUAAUUAAGUGUUGACUCUGUUAUUAUUUGACAACAAUCUAUUGGAAUCGUGGUGCGUAACUUAUUCUCUUUCAGUUUAAUAAUGCAUAUCGCCGUUUGAUUUUACUUUCUCUGUUCCAAAAUAUAGGUCGUCUUAGUAAGCUGUUUUAGCUUGCUACAACGACAUAUAUUAUGAAAUGGAGGAGUAGUUUGCAUAUGCAUUGUGAUUGUGUGCCACCGCUACUUCCUUGCUGACCUUGGAAUUUGGGAUACUAACUAGCUAGCUAGCUUCAUAUAUCAAGUAGUGCGUUGGACUCGCUCUCCCCUUCUCC